GACGGACGCUGGCGGCGUGCUUAGCACAUGCAAGUCGAACGGAAAGGCCCUGCUUUUGUGGGGUGCUCGAGUGGCGAACGGGUGAGUAACACGUGAGUAACCUGCCCUUGACUUUGGGAUAACUUCAGGAAACUGGGGCUAAUACCGGAUAGGAGCUCCUGCUGCAUGGUGGGGGUUGGAAAGUUUCGGCGGUUGGGGAUGGACUCGCGGCUUAUCAGCUUGUUGGUGGGGUAGUGGCUUACCAAGGCUUUGACGGGUAGCCGGACUGAGAGGGUGACCGGCCACAUUGGGACUGAGAAGCGACCCAGAGGGCUAAGGGAGGAAGGAGUGGAGAAUAUUGCACAAUGGGCGGAAGCCUGAUGGAGCACCGCCGCGUGCGGGAUGACGGCCUUCGGGUUGUAAACCGCUUUCGCCUGUGACGAAGCGUGAGUGACGGUAAUGGGUAAAGAAGCACCGGCUAACUACGU
rnacentral:rRNA from 1 species